CUAUAUUGCUCUCUCGCUCCUCCUCCAUCCCUCUCUCCUUUUAGCUAUCGCGCUCUCGCUCUCUCACUCUCUCGCUCCUCCAUCCCUCUCUCCUCUCAGCUCUCACGCUCUCUCUCUCCUCCUCCAUCCCUCUCUCCUCUCAGCUAUAUCACUCUCUCGCUUCUCCUCCAUCCCUCUCUCCUCUCAGCUAUCGCUCUUUUGCUCUCUCACUCCUCCAUCCCUCUCUCCUCUCAGCUAUCGCUCUUUUGCUCUCUCACUCCUCCUCCAUCCCUCUCUCCUCUCAGCUAUCACACUCUUGCUCUCUCGCUCCUUCUCCAUCCCUCUCUCCUCUCAGCUAUCGCGCUCUCGCUUCUUCUCCAUUCCUCUCUCCUCUCAGCUAUUGCGCUCUCGCUCUCUCAUUCCUCCUCCAUCCCUCUCUCCUUUCAGCUAUUGCGCUCUCUAGCUCCUCCUCCAUCCCUCUCUCCUCUCAGCUAUAUCGCUCUCUCGCUCCUCCUCCAUCCCUCUCUCCUUUCAGCUAUAUCACUCUCUUUCCUCCUCCAUCCUUCUCUCCUCUCAGCUGUCGCUCUCUCGCGCUCUCACUCCUCCAUCCCUCUCAGCUAUCGCACUCUCUCGCUCCUCCUCCAUCCCUCUCUUCUCUCAGCUAUCGCGCUUCUGCUCUCUCACUCCUCCUCCAUCCAUUCCUCUCUCUCCUCUUAGCUAUCGCCCUCUCAUCUCAGCUAUCGUGCUCUCGCUCCCUUUUCUAUCCCUCUCUCCUCUCAGCUAUAGCGCUCUCGUUCCUCCAUCCCUCUCUCAUCUCAGCUAUCGCGCUCUCGCUCCUCCUUUCUCCCUCUCUCCUCUCAGCUAUCGCGCUCUCGCUUCUCCUCCAUCCCUCUCUCCUCUGAGCUAUCGCGCUCUCGUUUCUCCUCCAUCCCUCUCUCCUCUCAGCUAUAUCCCUCUCUCCUCUUAGCUAUCCCUCUCCUCUCAGCUAUCGCGCUCUCGCUUCUCCUCCAUCCCUCUCUCCUCUUAGCUAUCACGCUCUCGCUUCUCCUCCAUCCCUCUCUCCUUUCAGCUAUCGCUCUCUCCUCUCAGCUAUCCCUCUCUCUUCUCAGCUAUAUCUCUCUCCUCUUAGCUAUCCCUCUCCUCUCAGCUAUCGCGCUCUCGCUUCUCCUCCAUCCCUCUCUCCUCUGAGCUAUCACGCUCUCGCUUCUCCUCCAUCCCUCUCUCCUCUUAGCUAUCCCUCUCC
rnacentral:lncRNA from 1 species